rnacentral:rRNA from 1 species
GGAAGUAAAAGUCGUAACAAGGUUUCCGUAGGUGAACCUGCGGAAGGAUCAUUAUUGAAUGAACUUGGAGUCGGUUGUCGCUGGCUGUCUUAUUUGGCAGCAUGUGCACGCCUUCUCUUUUCAUCCACACACACCCCUGUGCACUUGUGAGACUGGAGACCGGUAAAAAAAGUCUUCAGUCUGCUAAAUCCAUAUACAACCCAUUUAAUUGAACUGAAUGUAAAUUGAUGUAACGCAUCUUUAAACUAAGUUUCAACAACGGAUCUCUUGGCUCUCGCAUCGAUGAAGAACGCAGCGAAAUGCGAUAAGUAAUGUGAAUUGCAGAAUUCAGUGAAUCAUCGAAUCUUUGAACGCACCUUGCGCUCCUUGGUAUUCCUUGGAGCAUGCCUGUUUGAGUAUCAUGAAAUUCUCAAAGUAAACCUUUUGUUAAUUCAACUGGUCUUUGCUUUGGAUUUGGAGGCCUUUGCAGAUGUCACAGUCUGCUCCUCUUAAAUAAAUUAGCUGGAUCUCAGUAUACACUUGGUUCCACUCGGCGCGAUAAGUAUCACUCGCUGAGGACACUGUUAAAAAGGUGGCCAGGCAAUGCAGAUAAACCGCUUCUAAUAGUCCAUUGACUUGGACAAAUUAAAAAUUUAUGAUCUGAUCUCAAAUCAGGUAGGACUACCCGCUGAACUUAAGCAUAUCAAUAAGCGGAGGA